GAGGAGGGAUCUCAAUGUUAUGGAGGCGGGCAAGUCCAAGAUCAAGGAGCCAGCAGAUCCAGUGUCUGGUGAGAGGUUACUUCCUGGAUGCUGGACAGAAAUCUGCUGAGAGUGAUAUGAUUAUGAUGUUAAUGGUUUGA
rnacentral:lncRNA from 1 species